rnacentral:rRNA from 1 species
GACGUAGGGUGCGAGCGUUGUCCGGAUUCAUUGGGCGUAAAGCGCGCGUAGGCGGCCUCGCAAGUCGGUUGUGAAAUCCCGGGGCUCAACCCCGGGACUGCGUCCGAUACUGCGAGGCUGGAGGUAGGUAGGGGAGACUGGAAUUCCUGGUGUAGCGGUGAAAUGCGCAGAUAUCAGGAGGAACACCGAUGGCGAAGGCAGGUCUCUGGGCAUUAACUGACGCUGAGGAGCGAAAGCAUGGGGAGCGAACAGG